AUUGAACGCUGGCGGCAGGCCUAACACAUGCAAGUCGAACGAGUGGCGUACGGGUGAGUAAUGUCUGGGAAACUGCCCGAUGGAGGGGGAUAACUACUGGAAACGGUAGCUAAUACCGCAUACCAUCGGAUGUGCCCAGAUGGGAUUAGCUAGUAGGUGGGGUAAAGGCUCACAUGGGCGACGAUCCCUAGCUGGUCUGAGAGGAUGACCAGCCACGCUGGAACUGAGACACGGUCCAGACUCCUACGGGAGGCAGCAGUGGGAAAUUUUGCACAAUGGGGGCAGGCCGGAUGCAGCCAUGCCGCGUGUAUGAAGAAGGCCUUCGGGUUGUAAAGUACUUUCAGCGGGGAGGCGUUACCCGCAGAAGAAGCACCGGCUAACUCCGUGCCAGCAGCCGCGGUAAUAC
rnacentral:rRNA from 1 species